AGAAAAUCAACUAAAUUAGCUAUUGAUAUAUCUCUCCAGCCGUGCACCACCGCUUCAGCCAUUUGUCUUUCUUUGUGGAAUUGGACUUAUUUUCUCUGGUAACCGCUCCAUCACUGGGAAACAUGACAGCUCUAUCAGGUCAUUUGUCCACCGUUGUCUUUACUGAUCCAGAGUCCCACUGAACACUCAUCAUCAUCUCAACCAGUCUUGAAAACACAAACACAUUCUUUACUCUUAUGGCAAAUUAGUGGCAAUUGCAGUCAUCGACUAGAAGGACCCGACAGUGGAAAGCGGCAGUGUGUCCUGACUCCUGUGUGAUCAUUAACACAUAGAUGGCAUCGCCAUGGACCCCUUGCUUUCCUUCCUGCAUGCUUAUUUACUUCCUGUUAUAGUAUUAAUGGUGUUGUGUGGCAAGGCCUUAUUAUUGUAGUAAGCAGGAACCAACACUAAUCCAAUAUAAUGAGCCAGUGCACUAAUAUGAAUCUGUAAGAGAUGCAAUUAUUGGAAUGGGGGUGGGUAUCACAAGUAGAUUUUACAAAUAAGCCGUUUUCUGCACAACAUUACCAAGAAUAAAAUUCUCCCAAGAAUACUCUAGAAUUCUGUCACAUUGUGUCAACGUAUUUGUAAUGAGGUGUCAUUUCCUUGUAUUUCCCAUC
rnacentral:lncRNA from 8 species